UCCAGAUUUUAAGCAGUGAGGAAAGAGGACCACUUGUGCCAGCCGCUUAAAAAAGGAGUGGCGACUUGGAUGUUCCAGUAGCCCCUCUAUAUUUUGAACAGAUGAGAAGAUCCCCACCUUCUUCAUCCACACCGUGGGCCUAACACAUGACAGGAUGGGCUUUGACAUAUGGAUGAGAAGCAGCAGCCUUGUGAAGAAGAGUGGAGAGUCAGCCUUCAGUGGAACAGAAACAGAGGGGCAGAAAACAACCUCAAUUUGCCAGUGCACAGGGGGACUGUGCCUGGUGUUUGCUCAAAACACUACUUUCAUUAGUCAUCUUUACUUCAUAUAUUUUAAUAUGUCAUGAAGCCAGGAUAUCAUGGUUCAUAUGCUAGCUGUUGAGAUGCAAUAGGUAAUGCUGAUCUCAUUCCCAAAUAUUACAUUUGCUUGGGGUUUUUUUUUUUUUUUUGGUAUGCUGCUCAAAUGAACACCAGCAAAUCCCUCCAUACACUCAUGCUGAACUCAUAUUUUUAUUUUUCAUAUAUACGUGCACAUACUCAGCAGUCUGUUCAUCUUAUAUGAGCAAAUUCAUUGGUAUAGUAAUUGAGCAUGGACUGUAGUGGAAUAAUAUAUAUCCCUGCUGAGCUCAAAGUAAAAUGGAACCGAAUCUCAGGAGAGGGGUUGCUGUACAGUACUUAUUUUCUGGUUUACAAGCUUCCUAGGCAUAUCUUCCUAGCAGCAUAACUUCUAAGCACGAUCAUCUGACUGCAGUCUGAGGUGAGCUUUCUCCUGCCUGGCUCCAUCCAGAUGUGGUAGGAUUGCAACUCCCAGAAUGUCCAGGAACAUCUUGGACCCUUCAGUCCAGAUCAACUGAAGGAACCCAGUUUGGAAGGUGGUUUAAGCCAUCAGCCAAACAGAAACUUUUCCCUGGUGCACAGUAUUUUCUCCCUCAUACUUCAUUCGGUCCUAUCUAUGUUCAAGUGCUUCUCAUGAGAUAUUUAUGUGAGUCAGCCGACUUAACCAUGUAAAGCUCCUGUUAGGUCAGCCAACUGCCUGGCUGAAGCAGAUGAUGGUCCUGAAAAUCACUGUCCACAUGAUUGCACUGCAUCAGUAUCAGAGCAAACCGUUGCAUUGUAAUAGCUUUGUCCUUAGCAGUGUUUCUCAACCUCAGCAACUUUAAGGUGCAGUCUUCAACUCCCAGAAUGCCUCAGCCUGCUCUAAAGCAACCUCUCCCAGCUGGCAGCUUCCAAGUGCCCUGUGGUUGUAGCUGCCAUAAUUCCCAGCCUACAACCAUGUUGCCUAGGCAUUUGCAGUCCCAAUACAUCUGAAAGAUCCCUGAUUGAGGAAGGCUGCCAUUGCCAAUUAUGGGAACUACAUUUGGGAUAACCUGGACCUUUUCAAGAUCCCUGCCACUUCCCAUCCAACGUCUGUGUUCAUAGUUACUGGCCUGGUUUACACAGAGAACUAAGACAUAAUGUGGUUUGUUGGUUGAUUUUUGGCACAGCAUGACAUAUGAACCCAUCCCUUAUGACUCAGCAUGCAUGUGGGCUCUGACUUGUUCAACAAUAUCGAAAUUCAGGCUUAGUUUUAUAGGUGGAUGCAGCCCAUCCCUUCUUCUCACGUAGAAACCAAAGUUCCUAGAGCUCCAAGAGGAAGUGACCACUGAGCCAAUUCAAAUCUACAGUGUGAGUAACACACUGUGUUUAGGACACAGCUAAAUUUGCAUAAGUUUGCCCUGUUAAGUGGUCAUUAAGUCUGCUUAACAAUGUAAUGAUUUAUAACCAUUGCGGUUCAGGCAUUUUUUAAAAAGCCAUUGCAGUGAGGAAAGAAGCUAUAGAUGCUACCAUCGACAACAAAUGACUCUUGAAGCCUGAUCAUUUUUCUUUUCUACAUUUGCAGAGAUUUAUCUCCUUUGGAAACUAUUUGAACAAUGACGUAUUGCCCUUUAGUUUCCCUUUGACUCACUGCAGCUCAUUCCCAAAUUUGGCUAUAAUUUUUUCAUUUAUCAACCCAAAUUUAUUCUCAGGCUGAAUAUAAUGAUUUGGCAGGCUUUCUGAAAUUCAGAUCUUACACAUUUGAGGUUUUGAUGUACAUAUUUUCAAAUGAUUACCAAUCUGGAAAGCCAGUCUCUCCAGUCUAACCAUGGAUUUAGAGCUUAGACUCAGAGAGAGCAAAAAUGCAGGCUUGUGAAUGCAGAGCUACUGAGGAUUUGAUUGUGGAUAACAUUGUGGAUCAGCAUAUACAGGAGUGCCUAUUCCAGUGUGAAAUUAGAGUAUCUGGAAAGUUUCUUAGUCUCAGCAGGGCUUCUAACACAAGGCAUAUUGCUGCUGGUGUCUUAACCAGUACUGCCUUUCAGUGUCUGGAACAUCAUUUUGCAAUUUUUUGCCCUCUCCUUUGUUCCCCUUCCCCAAUUUGUUUAACAACCAUGAUGGCUGGACAAAAGAAGAGAGUUUCUUGCUCUUUUUGAAGGGUUGCUGUGUCUCUGCUUGAAGUUAGCUUCAGAGUUUACCCGUACUAUAGUUAGUUUCUACGUUUCCCUCCCUCUUCAUGGCACAAUGCACACCUCUCCCUGGGCUGACGGAGGAGGCUGGUGAGGAGGCUGUGAUCCAACAGCUUUUGAGGACCAAGCCUAGAGCUGAGGGGAAGGAGAGGCUGCCAAGCAGCCAGAUGGAGCUCCAGCCCCUGGAGCUGCCAUCUGCUUCUUGUCAAGUUGUUGUGAAGUGCUAGUUCCUGAUGACGGAGACUGCUGGACAGCAGUGUGAGGAUGCGGUUAUGACAGAUGUUGUGUUUACCAUACUUCAGGCCCUCAUCAGGCUGACACAGGAUGUUAGCUUUUCCCUGGGAAGAGUGUUGCUUGAUCUUAUGUUCACCUCUUCAUUCAGUGCCUGCUUCCCCAGUGAAAACCUCACUUUAUAGGCCCAUCUAUACAGAGGGAAAUCAGAGAAACUGUCCAAAAGAAGGCAAAUGAAUUCCCAGGUCAUGGCUCAUCUUACGGUUGUCUCUCUCAGACGGUCUUACCUGAGAGAUGAAAAGAUUGUAACAUUCAUCUCCUCAAUGCCUCCUGGGUCUGACCUGUAUCUAGAGUUACAUCUACUCCUUGCUGCCACACACAAUUUGACCAAUGUAUCAUUAGAAGAGGUGUGAACAUAUCGGUCAGGGAAUAUCUAAAUGACAAUUUUAUUUAUAUGGCUAUGGAAUUCAACUCUAAGCAGACAAGUAUCAAGCUGAUUAUCUCACAUCUGACUUAUUUCAAUGUUGCCAAGCAUAGUUAAUCUGAAAUUCCCAUAGUGGCUGAAAUGUUUAUUUAAGCAGCCACUACCUUUACCUUUGAGCGCAGCCAUAAUUUACAUCAACUUUAUGAAGGCCAGGAAGGCUCCAGUUAGAAAAUGCAUAUACAAUUUUAUCAUACCCCCCCAAAGCAAUACCUUUGCAACAACAACAACAAAAUUGCAGAUACACUAACACAGCCGAUUCUGAAAAGGAAAGAAGCCUAUAUCUUUGUUACCUCUUGGCAGAAUUUCUAUUGAUCUCAAUUUCAGUGUUGAGAAAUAUUCAGAUCAACAGCAAUCUCCGUUUACCCUGAGCAUCAACAGUGCCUGGUGAAACAUCCUAUUAUUGUUGGGUGCAUGCUCACAAAAUGGGAUUGUUAUAGAGCAAUAAAUUCAGAGAAACUUCCCAACUAUUCUCUCUCCUCCAUAUAGUUUUAAUUUCAUGCAGUUAUGUAUUUAUUGUAUUUUUUUUUUAAUAAGGUGACAAUUCUGGCCAUCCUUUUUAUCCUUGGAAGGUUAGACUGAGUAAACUCUUCCAAGAUCAUCCAAUCAGGUUUUUCUGACUAUGGGAAGAUCUGAAUGUGGGUCUUCUUGAGCUAAAUUAGAUAUAAUAAUCACUAUGACACUAUACUGUUAUUUUUAAACUGGACAUCUUUCUGUAAAUAUACCUGAAAUGUGCCUCAGCACCUAUACAGAUGUGAUCUUGGCCAGUAAGCAUUUUCCAUACUUCUACUUUUGUCAUCUCCUGUCCUACAAGGGAAAUCCUGCAGAAAGGUCCAAGUUCUAAUCAUCGUACUAGCACUAUAUUUCUUACGAACUUGUACUGGAACUUAUAUUUCUUUCUUAGCAAAAGCUCCUUAAAAACCCUCUACUUCAAUUUUGAUUUUAACAGUUCAUGUGGUUGGUGCCUGCUAUUAAUAACAGGUCUGGAGAAUCCUCUGCAAAGCUCAGGGCUUCUUGGGCUUUGUAAGCAACUUGAUUAGAAAAAAAAGGUAGUAGGAAAAAAAGGUACUAGAAAAUUUAGAAAUCGCAGGUUGCUCCAAAUCCUGUAUUUUUCUUCUCGGUGACUGCCUGACCUCUCUGCGACCGCUCUUGUGAGAGAAAGUUGCUUCCUGGAUGGACGCUUUCAUAAGAAUGACUUCGAUGUCUCCCAGCCCAAGGUGCAGUGCUGCAUCUCUGGUCAGUUGUGAGUCUGAGAUGAAGCACUGUAGCUCAGGAAGGGAGGAACAAGGCAACGGAAAGGACCAGCCCUGUUCUCCUAUGUUCAAGUCAAGCACCCAGAGGUAAGAAUCCGGGCAGGUAUGAUUACCUAGCAGAUCCAGGAGGGAACAAUUACUCCAGAGUGUGGAAAUACAGGGAUGAAGAACAGCAUGGAGAAAACGACAGAUUGCAGAGAACGCUACAAAUACCGCUACCCAUUCUGCCUGGCCAGGGAUUCUGGGGGAUAUAGUGCAAGGGAACUGGAGGGCCCUAGUUUGGGGAGAAGUAAGGGUCAUAAGAGCACACAGCAAAACAGCAGAUUACUCAAAUGCAUUCCUCUUCUGACCAGGGGUGAGAGGGUUUGUCAAAUUAUUCAUAUUUUGAAAAAGAAAUCACAGCCCUGGCCUACGCUUUCUGAGAGUGCCAAGGAAGCAUCAGAUUCUUCUAGUGCUACCAAAUCACCUUCUCACGGCUGCCACCCAGUGGAAAUAGACACUGAAGGUAACUUUACUACACAGCAGAGGGGAAGCAGCAAAUUAGAGAGAAUCCCACAUCUGAGCCUAAUCUCACUAUGUCCUCGGGGUCCAGUUUUCCCAGGAAUCCCUUAGAUGCUAAGAAGGGGAUUCCUGGAAAUACUGUUCUUGGGGUCAUGGCUCAGCAACUGAAGACAAUUGUUCACUUCAAUCACAUCAGAGGGAGCCAUACGAACAGGCAGAGAGUCAAUGGGAAUAGAAGGAUAAGGACUGAAAAUCCUGAGAGAUAUUUUCAUUUUCUUAGCUUCCAAAGGCCUAGCAAACCUGAUUUCGUACAGGGAUUCUCUCAAACCUAACAUUUCUUCUGGGGAUGAGGGCUGCAGGCUCUGAGUGAAGUACUAGGACUAUACUCUGAAGAGUAGUAGGUGGCAAAAUGCCUUCUGAUUUCAUUUUAUUUCCAUUUCAAUUGGAAAUAAAAUUGCCAUUUAAAUUACAUGUUAUUUUAAGAUACUUAACUGGAUUGCUCUCCAGUUAUGUUUUUAAUAUUUUCACCUUCUGUCACAUUAAGCAUUACAAUUUGGUCACUGAGGAGAUGAUGGCUAUUGUUUUUGAAGGCCACGUGUAAUCUGGGGUUCAAAUUAUGUACCUCUGGCCUAAAUUAAGAACAUUAGCUUCCUAAGCGAUCACUGUUAGAGAAAGACCUUUCUUAGCAGGCACCACUCACAUUUUACUUAGAUUUUACAGCUCCUUCAGUCACACAAAUAAGCUGUCACAGGUAAGGGAAUCAAAGAGGAAUAUCGUAGCUCUUCACUUAAGUUGGCGGAAGAACUGGAUCAUUUCACAUAUCUGUACAUUCAAGUACUGAUGCCCCAAUCUACCUCAACAAAUGAAAGAUGCUGCUUUUUUGAAUGGCAAGGAAUGCUAUGAAAAAUAGCGUCUUCUGGGUUUCUUGGUAUUUUAUGACUAUACUUGAGCCAUACUGUUGUAAUUCCUCCUCCCAUUCUCAACAGUCCCAUCACUGUAAAGUGGAUAAUAGGCAUAACUUAAUCCCUUCUAUGAAGACUUCUGUGUCAAUAAAGCUGAAACAUUU